UAGGGAAUAUUGGACAAUGGGGGCAACCCUGAUCCAGCCAUGCCGCGUGAGUGAAGAAGGCCCUCGGGUUGUAAAGCUCUUUUGUCCGGAAAGAAAAGCAUUCGGUGAAUACCCGGAUGUUCUGACGGUACCGGAAGAAUAAGCACCGGCUAACUUCGUGCCAGCAGCCGCGGUAAUACGAAGGGUGCAAGCGUUACUCGGAAUUAUGGGGCGUAAAGCGUGCGUAGGUGGUUGUUUAAGUCUGAUGUGAAAGCCCUGGGCUCAACCUGGGAAUGGCAUUGGAAACUGGGCAGCUAGAGUGCGGUAGAGGGUAGUGGAAUUCCCGGUGUAGCAGUGAAAUGCGUAGAGAUCGGGAGGAACAUCUGUGGCGAAGGCGACUGCCUGGACCAGCACUGACACUGAGGCACGAAAGCGUGGGGAGCAAACA
rnacentral:rRNA from 1 species